AAAGAGUUAAAUAAUUAUAAAAGUUAAUGUUUCAAAAUUAUUUUAAAUAAUUAUUUAGAAAUGAAACGUUAUUCGUUUUUAAAUAUAUCUAGUUUUUUUAGAAAAAAAUUUAAUUUUAAAUUAAAUUUAUAAUUGAUUUAAUUAAUUAAUUUGAUUAUAAAUUUAAUUUUAUAAUUUGGGGGAUAAGCUUUAAAUUAGAUUUUUAUAAUAUGAAAUUUUAUAUUUUGAAAAUUUUAUAAUUUAUAUUGUUAAUAAAUUUUAUUUUAUUGUAAAUAAUUUCAUUUUAAAUAAAAUUUAAAAUUUUUUCUUUAAAUUUUUAUAAAAAUUAUAAUUUUAAAUUUUUUAAAUUUAGAAAUAAUGAUAAAAUUAGUAUAUUUAUUAAUUUAAUUUUAAAAUUAAUAUUAGUAAUUAAAUUAAUUAAAAGGAAUUCGGCAAAUUUUUAUUUUCACUUGUUUAUCAAAAACAUGUCUUUUUGAAGUUUAUUUAAAGUCUAAUCUGCCCACUGAUAAAAAUUAAAGGGCUGCAGUAUUUUGACUGUACAAAGGUAGCAUAAUCAUUAGUCUCUUAAUUGGUGACUUGUAUGAAAGAUUGAAUGAGAAAUAUACUGUCUCUUAAUUAAUUUAUAGAAUUUAAUUUUUUAUUUAAAAAGUUAAAAUGUUUUAAAAAGACGAGAAGACCCUAUAGAGUUUUAUUAAUUAUUAUUAUAAAUAAAAUUAUUUAUUUAUAUAAAAUUUUUAUAGUUUUAUUAAUUUUAUUGGGGUGAUAAAAAAAUAAAUUUAACUUUUUUUGAAAUUAAACAAAAAUAAAUGAUUAUUUGAUCCAAUUUUAUUGAUUAUAAGAUUAAAUUACCUUAGGGAUAACAGCGUAAUUUUUUUUUUUAGUUCAAAUAAUAAGAAAAGUUUGCGACCUCGAUGUUGGAUUAAGAUAAAAUUUAAAUGCAAAAGUUUAAAGUUUUUG
rnacentral:rRNA from 1 species